GCCAUUGUGGUGCAGUGGUUUGAGUACUGGACUAUGAUUCUGGAGACCAGGGUUUCAAUCCCCACUCAGCAAUGGAA
rnacentral:tRNA from 1 species